AACAAACGCUGGCGGCGUGCCUAACACAUGCAAGUCGUACGAGAAAGGGUCCUUCGGGGCCUGAGUAAAGUGGCGCACGGGUGAGUAACGCGUGGAUAAUCUGCCCUUCAGUUGGGAAUAACUCAUCGAAAGGUGGGCUAAUACCGAAUAAUGCUGUGAGACCUCGGUUGAUCAGCCAAAGAGAGCCUCUGCUUGCAAGCCCUCGCUGAAGGAUGAGUCCGCGUACCAUUAGCUAGUUGGUAGGGUAAUGGCCUACCAAGGCGACGAUGGUUAGCUGGUCAGAGAGGAUGAUCAGCCACACUGGAACUGAGACACGGUCCAGACUCCUACGGGAGGUAGCAGUGAGGAAUCUUGCGCAAUGGGGGCAACCCUGACGCAGCAACGCCGCGUGAGUGAGGAAGGUCUUCGGAUCGUAAAGCUCUGUCGGAUGGAAAGAACCGCAUAGGGGUAAACAGCCCCUGUGUCUGACGGUACCAUCAAAGGAAGCACCGGCUAAUUCCGUGCCAGCCGCCGCCGUAAGAC
rnacentral:rRNA from 1 species